rnacentral:lncRNA from 1 species
GUAUGCAAGGGCUUUACUGGGGGCUUGAUAUGAGACAAUCCUGCUGGGGCAUAAAGCCAUAACCCCUCUGGGGGCAGCUUUCCCACCUCCAGGACUCAACACAUCAACCCUCAGCACGUGAGGCUUUCUGCUGAGGGUUUCAUCCUGUCCCACGCAGGUAGGAUAUCGCUGCCCAACGCCAGGCGUCAGCUAAAUCUCAGGGCACUGAGAGGGAGCACAAAGAACAUCUGACCGUCUGGGAAUGCUGGGCUGCAGGGGAAGCUCCUCGUAUCGGUGGCUGAGGAGCACAAGCUCAGGGUCAGCACCAGGCAGAUGCUUCAUCUCUAGGUUAUGGCUGGAGGGGAAUGUCCUGGGUGACGAACGCCUUCACCUGCGGACACAGCGGGCGGCCCGCCCCGGCUCAGCGGAGGAGCGGCCCCAGACCCCGGCCCCAUCCCGCACCCGGCGGCACUUACCUCCCUCAGGCGGUUCAGCCGUCACCCGCCGCAGGUCUGCGGGACGAGACACCCCGUCACCGCCGCCGGCGUCCCGCGGUGUUCCCGCACCCUCCGCCCAGCCCCGUGCUCACCUCCACCUUGCCCCGGGCCAGGUCCCGCAGCUCAGCCCCGCGGUGCCGGGGGGGUCCUGGGCCGAGCCCUGCCGCCAGCACCGACACCAGCAGCAGCAGCGGCAGCGCCCGCAGCAUCCCGCAACGCCACGUCACGGCC